CAACCGGGACGACCCGGCUGAGCGAGAAACACGAUGAGGACGGCCUCA
rnacentral:ncRNA from 1 species